rnacentral:rRNA from 1 species
CCUACGGGUGGCUGCAGUGAGGAAUAUUGGUCAAUGGCCGGAAGGCUGAACCAGCCAAGCCGCGUGAAGGACGAAGGUGCCAAGCAUUGUAAACUUCUUUUGUCAAGGGACAAAAUCAGGCUCGCGAGCCUGACCGAGGGUCCUUGAAGAAAAAGCAUCGGCUAACUCCGUGCCAGCAGCCGCGGUAAUACGGAGGAUGCGAGUGUUAUCCGGAUUUAUUGGGUGUAAGGGGGGCGUAGGCGGACUGUUAAGUCAGCGGUAAAAGCCCGGGGCUCAACCCCGGCGGGCCGUGGAAACUGGAUGUCUUGAGAGGUCGAGAGGUAUGCGGAAUGCGCAGUGUAGCGGUGAAAUGCUUAGAUA